GAUGAACGCUAGCGGCAGGCUUAACACAUGCAAGUCGAGGGGUAUAGUUCUUCGGAGCUAGAGACCGGCGCACGGGUGCGUAACGCGUAUGCAAUCUACCUUUUGCAGAGGGAUAGCCCAGAGAAAUUUGGAUUAAUACCUCAUAGUAUGUGAGAAUGGCAUCAUUUUCACAUUAAAGUCACAACGGCAAAAGAUGAGCAUGCGUCCCAUUAGCUUGUUGGUAAGGUAACGGCUUACCAAGGCAACGAUGGGUAGGGGUCCUGAGAGGGAGAUCCCCCACACUGGUACUGAGACACGGACCAGACUCCUACGGGAGGCAGCAGUGAGGAAGAUUGGACAAUGGGCGCAAGCCUGAUCCAGCCAUGCCGCGUGCAGGAUGACGGUCCUAUGGAUUGUAAACUGCUUUUGUACAGGAAGAAACACUGGUUCGUGAACCAGCUUGACGGUACUGUAAGAAUAAGGAUCGGCUAACUCCGUGCCAGCCGCCGCCGUAAGAC
rnacentral:rRNA from 1 species